rnacentral:rRNA from 1 species
UACGGAGGGUGCAAGCGUUGUCCGGAUUUAUUGGGCGUAAAGAGCGUGUAGGCGGCCAUGCAGGUCCGUUGUGAAAACUGGAGGCUUAACCUCCAGACGUCGAUGGAAACCGUAUGGCUAGAGUCCGGAAGAGGAGAGUGGAAUUCCUGGUGUAGCGGUGAAAUGCGCAGAUAUCAGGAAGAACACCCGUGGCGAAGGCGGCUCUCUGGGACGGUACUGACGCUGAGACGCGAAAGCGUGGGGAGCGAACAGG